CGCCAUCAGAGUCUGUUCCAGGUGUUUGGUAAGGAAGAAGAAGACGAAAUAGCAAUUGCUUGAUGCUGAACUUGAGGCAAAACAUCACAAGAUUUUAAUCGUUCGCAGAAAUAACAGGGAGAAAAUCAACAAUACCAAUCAAAUAUUUCAGGCAUAAACAACAGCUCUGAGAAAACUUGUCAAGUUCGUCCAGACAGCCGGAGAAUACGUCUCUAGAAUAAACAGACCUUUCUCUCCUCUACAUAAAUCUUCGUAACCAGAACCUAAUGUUAUGCCAAUGGAGUAUACUCCAGAGCAAUUGAACUAUUUCCGAAUUUGUUACGUCGCUUUUAACUUGGUUCGCGAAGGACUACGAAAACUCCUCAAGCAAGAAUGGGAUUUCCUGUACAAAACAACGCUUGGAGAAUGGAAAGACACGACAAAGAAUGGUUUCGACUUUUAUAAUAAGGAGUCUCGAAAAAGCCAUUCGAAGAAUAAGCGAUAUCUGGCGACUAUACAGAACGGUAACACGGCAGAAUGGGACUGUAGUUGUUUGUUUUUCGCGAUUCUGUACUCGGAUAGCAUUGGAACAACUCUGAGUGCAGCCAUCAAGAAAGACGUUGAUGAUCUUCGUCAAGUCAGAAAUGACAUUGCUCACAUCAGCGAGGCGAAACUUACUGAUG